GGGGGCGUAGCUCAGCUGGGAGAGCGCUUGAAUGGCAUUCAAGAGGUCGAGGGUUCGAGUCCCUUCGUCUCCACCA
rnacentral:tRNA from 1 species